GUGAUUUUAAACAAUAUUUCAUUUUCCUAAAAUGCUGUUUACGUCGUGGUUUCUGAAUUUUUAACAAAAAACAUUGACCAAUGACAGCGUCCGUAGAGCGCGCGCUCAGGGACGCAGCUACUACUUUCGAUGGUGCCGUGACCCCAAACUAAAAUCUCACAAAUCUUUCGAUCGCUCGAUAAUAUUAUCAGAGAUGAAAAGGGAGAUUGCUCAUUUCUUUGUUCGAAAGUGGACACGGCUCACUACCGCACCCUAGUGUCAAUGUCCAUUAUUUAAGGGGAAAUAGACGUAGUUUAGAAGGGAUUGUGCACUACUCCCCUCCAGAAGUGGACACGCCGAAGAGAGCUGAAAAUAUACGUAUAAGAUUUGCCAUGCUCGUGCCUAGGGUAUUCGUCUACAAGCGCUCCAUCUCGCGGCCGGCUUCGUGCAUCUCCUAAAAGAAGGGGCGCGUGUCGAGUGACGCAGUACGUGCGUGUGUGCGUGCUGACUGUCAGGCAAGCGAAUUCUAAAUUCACUCCUCGAGGCUCGGAAUCUUCGACGCUUCGAGACUCGGAGUCUUCGAGGCUCCGUGUGUUCGAAACCCAGACAAUCCACUCUUUUUUUCUUUGUUGUUUAUUCAUCUGAAAAAAUUCCAACACGUCCGUAGCAUAACUGGACACAUCUGAGAAUUAUUUCAGAUUUUUUUGUUACAAAAUGUAACCGUGAAAAAUAAGAAGAUUUUUAGGUUUGGUGCGUCAAUGCGAAAAAAAUCAAAAACUAUGUACGUCUCAUGUUGAAGUACGUAAAUGAAAGACGCGCUUCCAGCAGCGGCAACAGCGAAGGGGUGAUGACACGAGGU